rnacentral:lncRNA from 1 species
GGGGGUCGCCCGCGCCGCCGCAAGUUCCUUCCAGGCGGGGAUAGGCGGCUGCGAGGUAACGUGCUACACAACACCGCCCCAAAACAUUUUCCCCUGUUGGACGGCGACUUGGGCGCUCCAUCGACUGCUGGAUGGCACCAUGUGGUUGAGGCCCGUGGCACCGUCGGCUGCCCCUCUGUCGCCGACAUCCAUCCCAUCGCCGGAUCUAGGAGAGCUUCGCCCGAAUCCUCUUCUGAUUCUUGCGUGUCGGUGGUGGGUGGAGAGCAGCGGUACCAACGACAUUUGAAGCACAGAAGGUGGCAGGAUUCGGAGAGGAGGCUACGGAUCUGGGGGUCCGAUGGGUCGUUCUCCCUCCUCCCUAAAGCGGUGGCGAAGGAUGUCAGUAAAUUGUCGUUGGCGUCAUGCGCGGCAGGUCAGCGCCGCCAAGGAAUACAGGAGGUCCCGGCCAUGCUUGAUCCUGGGCUGCCCAUCCUGAUUCCUAAUGCUACCGCCACACAGUCCUGUUCUAAGCUGGUUGGUUGGCGAGCCAGCCGCCUCCACUACAACAUUCGUCCAUCAAAGACGAUGGAUCCCGCGGGUCAAAACAAGUAA